rnacentral:rRNA from 1 species
AACCAACAGGGAUUGCCCCAGUAACGGCGAGUGAAGCGGCAACAGCUCAAAUUUGAAAUCUGGCCCCUAGGGUCCGAGUUGUAAUUUGUAGAGGAUGCUUUUGGUGAGGUGCCGCCCGAGUUCCCUGGAACGGGACGCCGCAGAGGGUGAGAGCCCCGUCUGGCUGGCCACCGAGCCUCUGUAAAGCUCCUUCGACGAGUCGAGUAGUUUGGGAAUGCUGCUCAAAAUGGGAGGUAUAUGUCUUCUAAAGCUAAAUAUUGGCCAGAGACCGAUAGCGCACAAGUAGAGUGAUCGAAAGAUGAAAAGCACCUUGAAAAGAGGGUUAAACAGUACGUGAAAUUGUUGAAAGGGAAGCGCUUGUGACCAGACUUGGGCGCGGCGGAUCAUCCGGGGUUCUCCCCGGUGCACUUCGCCGUGUUCAGGCCAGCAUCAGUUCGGCGCGGGGGAAAAAGGCUUCGGGAACGUGGCUCCUCCGGGAGUGUUAUAGCCCGUUGCAUAAUACCCUGCGCUGGACUGAGGACCGCGCAUCUGCAAGGAUGCUGGCGUAAUG